rnacentral:rRNA from 1 species
GACGAGUGGCGGACGAGUGAGUAACGCGUAGGAAUCUGCCUAAUCGUGGGGGACAACCUGGGGAAACCCAGGCUAAUACCGCAUACGCUCUUGAGGGGAGACUCUUAGGAGGAAAGCGGGCCUCUGAAUAUGCUCGCGCGAUUAGAUGAGCCUGCGUCGGAUUAGCUAGUUGGUGGGGUAAAGGCUCACCAAGGCGACGAUCCGUAGCUGGUCUGAGAGGAUGAUCAGCCACACUGGGACUGAGACACGGCCCAGACUCCUACGGGAGGCAGCAGUGGGGAAUAUUGGACAAUGGGGGCAACCCUGAUCCAGCAAUACCGCGUGGGUGAAGAAGGCCUGCGGGUUGUAAAGCCCUUUCAGUGGGGAGGAAAGCCUCGGGGUAAAUAGCCUCGGGGGGUGACGUUACCCACA